rnacentral:lncRNA from 1 species
UUCCCUAGAUUUUCCAAAGAAGAGAGGACAAAAAUUGGAGAAGGUUUUCCCCUUAACCUGCUCCUAAAUCCCAAAGGUUGUUCUUGCUUGCUAUGAGGGUUAAUAAUCUGAGCUCACAAAGUAAGGUUUAUUUCCAUGAUAUUGUGGGAAGGUUAGUGCGUUAACUUGUCUUAAAGAUGGAUUAAGGCCAUUGCUUAUUUAAAAAAUGAUCACAAUGUGAUGUUCUUGAUGCCUCAAGUAUUGGAAUAAUGAGUCUG